ACCCUCGGGUGACAGGGAGACAGGUGGUGCAUGGUUGUCGUCAGCUCGUGUCGUGAGAUGUUGGGUUAAGUCCCGCAACGAGCGCAACCCCCUACGUUUAGUUGCUAACAGGUGAAGCUGAGCACUCUAGACGAACUGCCGUUGACAAAACGGAGGAAGGUGGGGAUGACGUCAAAUCAUCAUGCCCCUUAUGUUCUGGGCUACACACGUGCUACAAUGGCCGGUACAGACGGAGGCGAAGCCGCGAGGCGGAGCAAAUCCGAAAAAGCCGGUCUCAGUUCGGAUUGCAGGCUGCAAUUCGCCUGCAUGAAGUCGGAAUCGCUAGUAAUCGCAGGUCAGCAUACUGCGGUCGAAUACGUUCCCGGGCCUU
rnacentral:rRNA from 1 species